rnacentral:rRNA from 1 species
UGCGUACCUUUUGUAUAAUGGGUCAGCGACUUAUAUUCUGUAGCAAGGUUAACCGUAUAGGGGAGCCGUAGGGAAACCGAGUCUUAACCGGGCGUUAAGUUGCAGGGUAUAGACCCGAAACCCGGUGAUCUAGCCAUGGGCAGGUUGAAGGUUGGGUAACACUAACUGGAGGACCGAACCGACUAAUGUUGAAAAAUUAGCGGAUGACCUGUGGCUGGGGGUGAAAGGCCAAUCAAACCGGGAGAUAGCUGGUUCUCCCCGAAAGCUAUUUAGGUAGCGCCUCGUGAAUUCAUCUCCGGGGGUAGAGCACUGUUUCGGCUAGGGGGCCAUCCCGGCUUACCAACCCGAUGCAAACUGCGAAUACCGGAGAAUGUUAUCACGGGAGACACACGGCGGGUGCUAACGUCCGUCGUGAAGAGGGAAACAACCCAGACCGCCAGCUAAGGUCCCAAAGUCAUGGUUAAGUGGGAAACGAUGUGGGAAGGCCCAGACAGCCAGGAUGUUGGCUUAGAAGCAGCCAUCAUUUAAAGAAAGCGUAAUAGCUCACUGGUCGAGUCGGCCUGCGCGGAAGAUGUAACGGGGCUAAACCAUG